rnacentral:rRNA from 1 species
GGGUUGUGAGGUUAAGCGACUAAGCGUACACGGUGGAUGCCCUGGCAGUCAGAGGCGAUGAAGGGCGUGCUAAUCUGCGAUAAGCGCCGGUAAGGUGAUAUGAACCGUUAUAACCGGCGAUACCCGAAUGGGGAAACCCAGUGUGAUUCGUCACACUAUCAUUAACUGAAUCCAUAGGUUAAUGAGGCGAACCGGGGGAACUGAAACAUCUAAGUACCCCGAGGAAAAGAAAUCAACCGAGAUUCCCCCAGUAGCGGCGAGCGAACGGGGAGGAGCCCAGAGCCUGAAUCAGCAUGUGUGUUAGUGGAAGCGUCUGGAAAGGCGCGCGAUACAGGGUGACAGCCCCGUACACAAAAGCGCAUGUGCUGUGAGCUCGAUGAGUAGGGCGGGACACGUGGUAUCCUGUCUGAAUAUGGGGGGACCAUCCUCCAAGGCUAAAUACUCCUGACUGACCGAUAGUGAACCAGUACCGUGAGGGAAAGGCGAAAAGAACCCCGGCGAGGGGAGUGAAAAAGAACCUGAAACCGUGUACGUACAAGCAGUGGGAGCNNNNNNNNNNNNNNNNNNNNNNNNNNNNNNNNNNNNNNNNNNNNNNNNGGGCGUUAAGUUGCAGGGUAUAGACCCGAAACCCGGUGAUCUAGCCAUGGGCAGGUUGAAGGUUGGGUAACACUAACUGGAGGACCGAACCGACUAAUGUUGAAAAAUUAGCGGAUGACCUGUGGCUGGGGGUGAAAGGCCAAUCAAACCGGGAGAUAGCUGGUUCUCCCCGAAAGCUAUUUAGGUAGCGCCUCGUGAAUUCAUCUCCGGGGGUAGAGCACUGUUUCGGCUAGGGGGCCAUCCCGGCUUACCAACCCGAUGCAAACUGCGAAUACCGGAGAAUGUUAUCACGGGAGACACACGGCGGGUGCUAACGUCCGUCGUGAAGAGGGAAACAACCCAGACCGCCAGCUAAGGUCCCAAAGUCAUGGUUAAGUGGGAAACGAUGUGGGAAGGCCCAGACAGCCAGGAUGUUGGCUUAGAAGCAGCCAUCAUUUAAAGAAAGCGUAAUAGCUCACUGGUCGAGUCGGCCUGCGCGGAAGAUGUAACGGGGCUAAACCAUGCACCGAAGCUGCGGCAGCGACACUGUGUGUUGUUGGGUAGGGGAGCGUUCUGUAAGCCUGCGAAGGUGGCCUGUGAGGGUUGCUGGAGGUAUCAGAAGUGCGAAUGCUGACAUAAGUAACGAUAAAGCGGGUGAAAAGCCCGCUCGCCGGAAGACCAAGGGUUCCUGUCCAACGUUAAUCGGGGCAGGGUGAGUCGACCCCUAAGGCGAGGCCGAAAGGCGUAGUCGAUGGGAAACGGGUUAAUAUUCCCGUACUUGGUGUUACUGCGAAGGGGGGACGGAGAAGGCUAUGUUGGCCGGGCGACGGUUGUCCCGGUUUAAGCGUGUAGGUGUGUGUUCCAGGUAAAUCCGGUUCACUUUAACACUGAGGCGUGACGACGAGGCACUACGGUGCUGAAGCAACAAAUGCCCUGCUUCCAGGAAAAGCCUCUAAGCAUCAGGUAACAUCAAAUCGUACCCCAAACCGACACAGGUGGUCAGGUAGAGAAUACCAAGGCGCUUGAGAGAACUCGGGUGAAGGAACUAGGCAAAAUGGUGCCGUAACUUCGGGAGAAGGCACGCUGACACGUAGGUGAAGUGAUUUACUCAUGGAGCUGAAGUCAGUCGAAGAUACCAGCUGGCUGCAACUGUUUAUUAAAAACACAGCACUGUGCAAACACGAAAGUGGACGUAUACGGUGUGACGCCUGCCCGGUGCCGGAAGGUUAAUUGAUGGGGUCAGCGCAAGCGAAGCUCCUGAUCGAAGCCCCGGUAAACGGCGGCCGUAACUAUAACGGUCCUAAGGUAGCGAAAUUCCUUGUCGGGUAAGUUCCGACCUGCACGAAUGGCGUAAUGAUGGCCAGGCUGUCUCCACCCGAGACUCAGUGAAAUUGAACUCGCUGUGAAGAUGCAGUGUACCCGCGGCAAGACGGAAAGACCCCGUGAACCUUUACUAUAGCUUGACACUGAACAUUGAGCCUUGAUGUGUAGGAUAGGUGGGAGGCUUUGAAGUGUGGACGCCAGUCUGCAUGGAGCCGACCUUGAAAUACCACCCUUUAAUGUUUGAUGUUCUAACGUGGACCCGUUACCCGGGUUGCGGACAGUGUCUGGUGGGUAGUUUGACUGGGGCGGUCUCCUCCUAAAGAGUAACGGAGGAGCACGAAGGUUGGCUAAUCCUGGUCGGACAUCAGGAGGUUAGUGCAAUGGCAUAAGCCAGCUUGACUGCGAGCGUGACGGCGCGAGCAGGUGCGAAAGCAGGUCAUAGUGAUCCGGUGGUUCUGAAUGGAAGGGCCAUCGCUCAACGGAUAAAAGGUACUCCGGGGAUAACAGGCUGAUACCGCCCAAGAGUUCAUAUCGACGGCGGUGUUUGGCACCUCGAUGUCGGCUCAUCACAUCCUGGGGCUGAAGUAGGUCCCAAGGGUAUGGCUGUUCGCCAUUUAAAGUGGUACGCGAGCUGGGUUUAGAACGUCGUGAGACAGUUCGGUCCCUAUCUGCCGUGGGCGCUGGAGAACUGAGGGGGGCUGCUCCUAGUACGAGAGGACCGGAGUGGACGCAUCACUGGUGUUCGGGUUGUCAUGCCAAUGGCACUGCCCGGUAGCUAAAUGCGGAAGAGAUAAGUGCUGAAAGCAUCUAAGCACGAAACUUGCCCCGAGAUGAGUUCUCCCUGAGACUUAGAGUCUCCUGAAGGAACGUUGAAGACGACGACGUUGAUAGGCCGGGUGUGUAAGCGCAGCGAUGCGUUGAGCUAACCGGUACUAAUGAACCGUGAGGCUUAACCUUACAACGCCGAAG